UACCAGCACCCCGAGUGGUCGGGACGUUUUAUUGGGCCUAAAGCAUCCGUAGCCGGUUCUACAAGUCUUCCGUUAAAUCCACCUGCUCAACAGAUGGGCUGCGGAAGAUACUAUGGAGCUAGGAGGCGGGAGAGGCAAGCGGUACUCGAUGGGUAGGGUAAAUCCGUUGAUCCAUUGAAGACCACCAGUGGCGAAGGCGGCUUGCCAGAACGCGCUCGACGGUGAGGGAUG
rnacentral:rRNA from 1 species